AAGUAAUCACAUCUCCAAUUCUUGCUACCAUGUGAUUUUUUAGCACUUUAACAUGUGUUAGAACUUCCUAUACCUUGAGCAUCCAUCUUUGUACUUUAUGACAAAAAAGUAUGGAAUGUUUGGCCGAGCCGCAACUUCGGCCAUUUCUCAUUAUCAAUUAAUCAUAGUACAAAACCUUAUUUUUUUGUUACAUCACACAUCCUACAACAAUUGCAGGAUAUUUCUUAUUCAGCACUCUUUUUGGCAGUAACAAAUUUUGGGGAAUAGGUAAGAAAACCCACUGGUAUAGCCCUCCUUGUGGCAGGCCUCAACACAUUUACUCGUCUUGCAUAGAAGAGUGUCAUAGGUCCUGCACUCAUAGGUGCAGGUCUCGGCUUCCAAGCCUACAAAACAUCCACACAAUAUGAUGUACAUAAAAAAUUAGAUCAUACGACGUUCCACAUAGAAACAAGAACAGAAAGAAGUAGCAUGGAUUAAAAAUUUCACAUAUGAGUGGCAACAGUAUAAAAGUGCACCGAGGAAGUGCCUUUUUCUUCUUAUGGAUUUUUCAGACAACGCUUACCUGGAACUAAAAGAAGAGGCAUGAGCAGUAGCAGGCAUAAUAGGCAUGGCACCUUGACAACUCCCACGUCUUCAGAAAACAAUCAAAAAGAAAGCUUGGAAGAGAUGCACAUCAAAAUUGGCCAGAUAUAUAG
rnacentral:lncRNA from 1 species